rnacentral:rRNA from 1 species
GACGCUGGCGGCACGCUUAACACAUGCAAGUCGAACGAGAUCUUCGGAUCUAGUGGCAGACGGGUGAGUAACGCGUGGGAACCUGCCCUUUAGUAGAGAACAACUUGAGGAAACUUGAGCUAAUACUUUAUACGCCCUUUGGGGGAAAGCUUUAUGCGCUAUUGGAUGGGCCCGCGUUAGAUUAGUUUGUUGGUGAGGUAACGGCUCACCAAGACUUCGAUCUAUAGCUGGUCUGAGAGGAUGAUCAGCCACACUGGGACUGAGACACGGCCCAGACUCCUACGGGAGGCAGCAGUGGGGAAUAUUGGACAAUGGGGGCAACCCUGAUCCAGCGAUGCCGCGUGAGUGAUGAAGGCCUUAGGGUUGUAAAGCUCUUUCGUCAGGGAAGAUAAUGACGGUACCUGAAGAAGAAGAUCCGGCUAACUCCGUGCCAGCAGCCGCGGUAAUACGGAGGGAUCUAGCGUUAUUCGGAAUUACUGGGCGUAAAGCGAGCGUAGGCGGAUUUGUAAGUUGGAGGUGAAAUCCCAGAGCUUAACUCUGGAACUGCCUUCAAAACUACAUUUCUUGAGUUUGGUAGAGGAGAGUGGAAUUCCUAGUGUAGAGGUGAAAUUCGUAGAUAUUAGGAGGAACACCAGUGGCGAAGGCGACUCUCUGGGCCAAUACUGACGCUGAGGUUCGAAAGCAUGGGUAGCGAACAGGAUUAGAUACCCUGGUAGUCCAUGCAGUAAACGAUGAGUGCUAGAUGUUGGGAAUUUUGAUUCUCAGUAUCGCAGUUAACGCGUUAAGCACUCCGCCU